UCUCAGUUUACCUGCAGAGGAUUCACCUGCUGACAACCCCUUGUAAUCUACUCUGCUCAGAGGCAGAGCCUCCUACAGUGAGGGGAAAGCUGCAGGAGCUUUCCCACCAGCAGCUUGAAACCUGCCCAGUACUGUCUGGAUGAAAGAGCCUUCAGCAGCCAGAGGAAGGUGCUUGCUCAGAGCAAUGUGGUUCUUCAGGUGGAUUGAUGAGUUCCCACACCAGCCAAAGACAUCCUGCAAUUCAGGGGAGCAAGACAGGUGCAUCUUCCCUAAUAAGCCAGGCCAGAUGGAAUGGCUGUUGGGCCAACGCUCCCCACGAAGUGCAAAUGUACCUCUUAUGCCAAGGAGCCUUGGUGCCAAAUGGAAGGGGAGGGAAGAGAAGAGCACAUGACUGCAAGUUGAAAGAGGAGCUUUUAGCCACCGUGCUGCACUUGUUGUUGACUUUAAACUCCUCCACCUAAGGCUGGCUGAUGAGCUCAGGGCUUCCCUGAGGAUGUGGAGAGGUGCUUGGUCUGCCGCGAUCUGUUCCAGGCCCAGAAGGACACUUGGAUGACUGGAGCAUGCCAGAGCCAGGUGAAUGAUGCCCAGGACUUCCCAGGCUAAGAGGCUGCUGGCAGACAUUGAGCUGCUGCUCUUGGCUUCCUGCAGCCUGCACCUGCCUGGCUAAUUGCUCCUGGGUGGAAGAUAUGCCUUGUUUAGAGUGCAAGUGGUGGAGUCAGGAGCUCAAGGCAAAGUGCAACACAACAAAACCAAUGUAAAAAUGAACAGUAAGGAUGUGCUCGCAUGGGCAGAUGUCUUAACGCUACAGUUAAUGAGAGGCUGAGACCUGCGCUGUGUAGGCACGAUGCAGGAAAAGGCCACCGUCUGCAGGAACAACGGGAUGUUUGUCAGCGCAGGGAGGCAGCAGAACAGAAUCUUCCCACAAAACCCAGCAAACAAAGUCGGCAGGAAGGAGGCCGGUCCAGCGGCACUUGACUUGGUGACCCAAGCAGUCAUCGUGCAGCCUGGCCCUGGUGGAGCCCAUAGCAGGAGCCCAGAAGACUAAAAGAAGUCUUUGCUCAUCAGGAAUCAGGAGCAGACAAACAAUGCAGGCAAGAAGUCUUAUCAGGCAGCCUUGUUGUUGAAGGAAAAUUAGAUUGAGUCGAAGAGACAAUGACUGAAGAAUUAAUUUUUUUUCUGUCCUGUGAAUUUAGAUGAAGGAGAAGUGCUGCUUUUAUAUUCCUUCAAGGGAAGUCUUUUAAAUAACAGGCGUAAAAGGAGCCUUAAAAUAAAAUAAAAAUGCUUAGAGAUACAACCAAAGGCAAGAAUUCUUCAUUAAGAACUUCAUUUAAAAUCAGAUGCAUCUAAGUAGUUUUGCCACCCUCCCAAAAGUUCAUUUUUUCUUUGUACAGUGCUUUUCUGAAUGCAUAAAUCUUUAAUAAUCUCAUUUUCCAGUGGCCAAACGUGUAUGCAAUUGGUUCUUGGUCUAAAGAGCACAUUCAAGUUAAAGCAGUUAUACUUGAAGACCUCUUGUUCUGAGGCCUGGAGUAAAGAAGUUUUCAGCAAAGCUGUAAUGAAACCUUUUUCAAUUGGUGCCCUUGGCUGUGGGUGGCUUUUUUUGUGAUUGUUUUCUGAAGAAAACAGGUUUUUCUGAACCAAGGGCUUUUCUGAAGCAAUCGAGGAGAUGCUGUCACUGAGGUGUGCUGCUUCCUGCUGGAUCUGGAGGCACUGACAUUCGUACAAAGCAAUAACUUUCUACCCAAGCCACUUUUCAGUGGAAAGUGUGUUCUUUCUGUGAGGGGAAAAAAAAAAAGAAGAAGAAAACCACAUUUCCUUUGUUUUUCUGAAAAAGGAGGGGAAAAAAAAAAACUCCCCUAAAAAGAGUUUCUUCUAAUUUUUAAAGAAAAAAAGUGCCUUUAAUUUGGGGAUCUCACCCUAAAUUAUAGAACUCAAAAAAAAAAAAAAAAAAAAUUAGUAAUGAUAAUAAAUCAGCCUAAGAGUGACUUUCCACUAAAAACCAAAGCAAACAAGCGACUACUACCAGCGACCAUUCUGGGUUAUAGUCAGAUAAAAUUCAUCUUCUCCAGACACGUGCACGUUUAUGUGAAACCUAACCAAGACCACCUCUGGCAUACGAAGUGUGGCUCAGUGCAGGAGCUGGCAGCUCCUGCUCCCAGGCAGGGGCUCUGUCCCCUUUGUGCCACCAGUUCUGCUUGGCUGGGGGCGAAGCCCACUCUCUGGAUGACAAACUGCUGUUUUCACCACAGGACGGUGAAAUGGUGGGAUGUCAUGGCCUCUCGUACCCUGGCCAACAUGCCUGGCACUUCACUGCUCCCUGAGGAAGGUGGGGAAGGGGCUGGGCUGUUGGCGUGGUUGAAAAAGCUCAGGUUUGUCUGCUCUCCCUGUUGCAAUGCUUCCUUGUUGUGGUGCCUUUCUGCAUCAUCUGCUCUCUGUGAAGCUUUUCUUGACACCCUGCUGCAUGGAGAGUUAGCUAAGGAAGGGAGCGGGAAAAAAAAAGAAAAACAACUUCCAUCUCAUUGGAGGGGGGGAGGGGAGGGGGACAAAAAAACCCUGCCCACUAACUCUGAGAUAAAUACGGCACAGUUCAAUAACUGAAAGUACUUUCAUAGACCACAGCUGGAUAGCAUUGCUUGCUUUGAUUUUCUUUUUCUUCUUUUUUUAACUCUGUCUUUGUUAUGUGUGCAAAGCUCAUGAAAAGAGUCAUUCGGAUUGCAGCAUUCCUGAUCUUUAUGCCUACAGCCUGACAAAUCAGCGAGGCAUAAUGGAAGCACUGGUUGUUGUGGCUGCUCAUAAAAUGAAAGCUCUCACUGACAACUCGAGAGGAUUUUUUUUUUUUAAUUUAGUUCUGUGCAGUUUUCUAGCUUUCCUUUCUUGCUUGCUGCUUAAUGUGCCUCCCAGCAACAAGACCCAUAGAGAACUGAGAAACCAUUGGCAAGGUGGCCUAUAAUUAGCUAGCUGAGUUUGUGUAUCUGGAACAAAAGAGCUAAUUAUGUAGCAAUCAGUUAUUUGAAGAAAAACACUGCUUUCAAUUGCUCCUCAAUGCUCCUACUCUGUAUGGGUGGGAAGGGCUACGACAUGGCCCCGCAAACUCCUGUCCACUGGGGAUAUGCCAAGGAAAAUAUUUGGGGCAGGAAAGCUGCCUGUUGAGGAAGCCAGCAGCUGGAUAAAGGAACUGGACCCUGGGCUGCGUCUGGAGGAAUUGAGUCUCUAGAAUUUGGGAAUAAAGCAUCUGGGCUUCAUUUGGCUCUGCUGCCUCCCUUCUCCUGGCAUGGCACAUAGACAUACUGCCUGGGUGAGGCUGGCUCACAAUGGUAUCUGCUGUGGAUGGACAAAAUUGGCCACAGUGACCUCCAGCUACCUCCUGGACAUCAUCACCAGGUGCUGGGAGGUGCCCUGGCUGUGAGUUUUUGCGUGUGGGGUAAAAGUCAGCUGUGCCUUGGUGGAGGCAGAAGCUGUGCUGUGAUGCCCGAAGGACUGCAAAUCCCAGCCUGCAGUGCCCGGCUUGGCCUGCUCCACUCCCCGGUGCCCCUAAGCAUUCUGCCUCAUUUCCAGCAAAUGUCUCAAAAAGUGUCUGUCUUAGCUAUUUAAAGCGAUGUCACUCCUUGCAGGAGCAGGAAAAACACAUUGCUGUCUGGAAAUAACAUUAGACAUGCUCCAGGAGAACCUGCUGUAACAUUCUCCAGCUUGCAAAUUGGCAAAUGUGCAUUCAAUAAAAUGUGCUUCUGCCCAUAUUCAGGGCUUGGCCAUGCGUGGGAUGUGUGACAUGUGGAGGUGAAUGGUUGGUAAGUGCUCGUGUGCUAACGAUGGAACCAUUCAGCAUUGUGGCAAGGAGCAUGGAAGAGUACUUGGAGACAUGGCCCAUUGCCUUCGAGCAGCAGAGCAGCUCAGCAUGUUGCAAUUUCUUGAACUCCUGCAAUUCAGUCGCUUGGUGCUGUCCAAGCCCGGACACUUCUUGUGGCCACUUUCCUCUGACUUUCCAUCUGUACCGACUCAGAUCCCCUUGAAAUGGAAGUGCCUUCAGCGGGGCAGGGAGAAGUGAAUUUGCAUCGCCUUGAGGAAGGACAGGUGAUAGACUGCUGGCACAAAUCCAAAGGAGAAAAGUCUAUCAGCUGCUGUUGGAUCCUCAACAGAUAAAAACAUCUUGAAAGGAGUGUAAAGAUUGAGGUCCUGCUUGCUCCUGGCUUCAGUGCCCACCAAAUCAGCCUGAGAAAACCCAGCAAAGUGCCACCAGGAGCUGCUGUUAAUUUAUGCAGAUUUCCGCUUAAUGAGCCUGGUGUGAAACCGGCCCAUUUGGAGGAUGAUAGGUAGCUUUUGUGAAAUGAACACUCUCUCUGAGGGCUUUUGAAUGCUUUCCAGCAGGCUGAUGAUAGCACUGUGCUUCUGGUGAGCUGAAGGCUUCUGCUGUCCCUGCACCUCCAUGAGCUGCUCUGAUGGGCACCACUCAGCCCCGUCCCUGCCCCACGCAGGGACACGCUCCCAGGGCAGCCUCCCUUACACCUGCCUAGAAAUGAUGCUGUUCAAAGCAAAGCAGUGCUGGGGAAUGAUUUAAAAAAAAAAAAAAAAAAA